rnacentral:tRNA from 1 species
AAUAAAAUGCCUGAAAAAAGGGUUACUUUGAUAGAGUAAAUCAUGUAUUAUAUAUACUUUUAUUA